AUACCCACUCACAAAGUUUCUAAAUUCUGGAGAGAUCAGGUAGAGAGAAAAAGACAAACGUUUCAAUUCUGCUUACAAAGGUAUAAUUUACCAAAUUGUUAU